rnacentral:lncRNA from 1 species
UAACUAUCCAGCAUCACAUAAUUAACCAACAGAGGCAAGAUUCAUAGAAAGGGCGGGAAUGCAAUAAACAUUUGAAAGUGAUAAAUUUUGUGUGCUAACAGAUUCGACACCUGCCAAGGACAUUAAAGUACCAUCAGCAGUCAUGACAGAUAUAGAUGACUUAGAAGGAUAUAAAGAAACUAAGGAUGUCGAGUCAGGUGACAUAUGAUUAGAUGCACCCCAGUCUAAAACCCAUACAAAAGAACUGUACUUGAAGGAUUUUGGGACAACAAACCUAUACGCGAAGAUGCAGAUAAAGGAGAUGGUUGUGUGGCAAGGAACCUCUGAAACUACUCAGUGAGAUUAGACAAAGUAGGAGCAGAAGGUUUCGAAGUAUUAAUAACAGAUGAGUCAAAAUGAUGUACAACAGUUUGUACUGGGCCUAUAGAUAGAUGUGGUUAUUGACCUCCCAAAUUUUUGGAAGACUAAUGUUGCCACUACUAUGAGGACCGUUGCUGACUCUUUGGAGGUUGUUGUCUCUUCAAUAACUUAGGACACUAAGCCUUCCAAUGUCCCUUAUGCUUGCAAAAGCUACAUUCAUCACUAACAAGUCUCAAAUAAGAUCUCAUUUGAUUCUGUGUGAAUGGUUGAGAAGAGACAGCCAAAACUGAAGCAGUGGAUGUUGAUAAAGAUAUUUUUCCUGCAUGGGAUUUCAAACUUUUUUCCUCUGCCAAAAGUUUACUAACAACAGAAUCAAUGGAAGGAAGUGGAUUAUGAUGCAGAAUUGACCCACGAAGUCCUUCAAAUUCAUCACGAAGAGCCAUAAAAAACUGAACCAAAUGCCGUCGCUCUCUACUCUUAAUAUAUGGUUUAUAAGCUCGAAGUUAUCAUCUUCUGUAAGAGUCAAUUUGAUCCCAAAGUUUGGUAAUUGCAGAAUAAAGUUCUUGAACACUCAUAUUUUUCUACUCUAUUGCUCGAAUAUCUACUUCUAAUUGGUAUUCCAUUGCAAAAUUAGACUGUGUGAACAACCUUGCUAAAUGGUCCCAAAUUUCCUUAGCUGUCUCAUAUUUUGCUAAUUGUAUACCAAUAGAGUGUUCAACAAAAUUAAAUAUCCAAGUGGUAAUUUUAGCAUUGUUCAUGUCCCAAGUACAAAGCAUUUCUACAAACUUUUCAUUUUCAUUUUCAUCAAGCUGAGGUUUGGUCUCAAUACCAGUUACAUAAUCCCACAAUGAUUUUCCUUUCAAAAAGUUUUUCAUCACAACACUCCAAUAUGAAUAAUUUUUUCCGUCUAGUCUCAUAGUAAUCGACCAAAGCGAAUCAUCUCUUACACCCGCCAUCAAAAAGGAUUCAACUAACAAACAACACAAUGAUAUCUAAAACAAAUAUGAAAACCCAAAAAGACCAGCUUCAUUCCUGGGCAAUCAGAGCACCUAAUAUCCUUAAUUUCACCCUAAUAGCUUCCACAAAUUCAAGUUACAUCCUCAACCCCCAAAGCUGGAACAAAAGAAAGUACCUCCAACAAGUGCCAAAUCACCGAAGCUUGGUCAGAAAAAGAGUUCGUCAAUUGCCGACUCUGUUCAUAGUAAGAAGCCUCUGCGAGAAAAUCAGCUUUACCAGAGGAUGAAAGAACAGUUGUCGAGCAAAUCUGGAGUCGGCCCAAUGAAGACGAGGUGCUUGUUAUUGAUGCUUUG